UUAAACAAAGUGUAAAGUGAGGAAAGGCUUUCAGGGGGUCAAGAGAAGUCUCUACCUCAGAUAUACUGUGGAAUGGAUUGAUUGGACUGAUUCUAUUUUGCCUGUAAAGAUCUAUAUUUUUUAUGUUACUGAUACUUGGAAUGGUUUGAACUCUGAACAUCAUUGUCAAGUGUGUAACAAGGUGAUGGGGGCCCUCGUCUUAGGUCGUGUGACAAGGAGGCUCGACUCAUGGGUCUACGGCGUGGCUCGCUCGUGGGUGCGACGGUGCUUGCGGCGGUGGGUCUACGGUGUGGCUCGACUCGUGGGUCUACGGCGUGGCUUGACUCGUGGGUCUACGACGGUCUUGUACCAGGAUAGUUCCAAGUUUAUGGUCUAUAUAUGUAUAUUGAUAAUCUUUUCUCAACCAAUAAUCAAUGUAUGAAGUUUCUUGUUUUUUUUUUUUGGCCGUAAGACAUUUGUUGCUUGUAUAAUGUUAUUUCCUUUUUUGAUAUGAUGUUAUUUCCUUUGUUGCAUUUAAUUUUUUAUAAUGAUGUACAUUUCGAAAACUCCAUUUCUGAUCAUUAAAACAUGUUUUGAAUUUGGGCCCUUGAUCAUUUUUGUUCUACUAGUUUCAGCAAUGCCUUUAUUUUUGUGUCUGAAUAUGUGGUUUAUAAUGAUGACAAUCUACUUUAAUUGUCAGCCUUAUUGUUCGACUGGCUGAACAUGGUCUCAUCCAUUGUGAUUUCAAUGAAUUCAACUUAAUGAUUGAUGAUGAUGAGAAAAUCACCAUGAUUGAUUUUCCUCAAAUGGUUUCGGUAUCUCAUCGUAAUGCGCAUAUGUACUUUGACCGCGAUGUUGAAUGUGUCUUUAAGUUCUUUAGAAAGAGUAAACAGGAAUUUACUCUCCAAGAUAAAGAAUCCACAAAAUGAUACCAUUGAAGUUGGGCCUAGAGAUUUAAAGCUGACCUUUUCGUCUACCUCAGGACAACUAAAACAGAUGUACAAUUCUAAAAUU